GUCAUCAGCAGAACAAUAAGAAGAGCAGGUGUUCAGUAAUUAAAAGUUUGCCCUGCUGAUCUCGGAAGCUAAGUAGGGUGGGGCCUGGUUAGUACUUGAAUGGGAGACCACCUAGGAAUACCGGGUGCUGUAGGCG
rnacentral:rRNA from 1 species